CUGCAAGCGUUAUUCGGAUUCACUGGGCGUAAAGGGUGCGCAGGCGGCCGUGUGUGUGAGGCGUGAAAGCCUGGAGCUUAACUCCAGAAUUGCACCUCAAACUACAUGGCUAGAGCAUUGGAGAGGGUAGCAGAAUUCAUGGUGUAGCAGUGAAAUGCGUAGAUAUCAUGAGGAAUACCAGAGGCGAAGGCGGCUACCUGGACAAUUGCUGACGCUCAGGCACGAAAGCGUGGGGAGCAAAAGGGAUUAGAUACCCCUGUAGUCCACGCCCUAAACGGUGCACACUAGGUCUUGGCGGAUUCGACCCCACCAGGGCCCAAGCUAACGCGUUAAGUGUGCCGCCUGAGGACUACGGUCGCAAGACUA
rnacentral:rRNA from 1 species